GGCUCUAGCCCAUAAGCAGAGAGAACUCUAAAGCCUAUAGGAGUGGCAGAGAGAAGGGGCAGCCACCGUCCCGGGGCUGAGAGAACACGGGAGAGAAGCCCGGCUCCACCAGGCUGAGAUCCACACUUGGCUGGAGAGAGCUCGGCUGUGGCCCGUGGAAUGGCGGAGAAAUCGCGGCGGUGCCAUGUCCUUUGGAAUUUUCUGUAAACACCUUCUAGGGUGCUGGGGGAGUAGUUGGGGCUCCCUGCAGGCACUGGGCUACAAAACUGCUCGGGACCGGGACCGGGAUCCAGAGUGGGGGAGGGGACUGCCGCUGGUCUCUGGAUGCCACCUCUCAUCCACCUGCCACCCUGCAGGAGCCCAUCACAGCUGAAUAUCGUCCCAGCUGGCAAAGGAAAAAUAUUUACCAGGUACCAGAACUGUUUCCACAGAGCAGUCCAAAAUGUUCCUCCAAGAAAUAAUCUUUGCUCUGAGAGGAGAGAUAAGCUAUUUAAGGUGACAAAGUUUGUGUUGCUGAAAUGAUAGUAAGAAGUUGGCAACCCUGACUUGUCCUGUCUUGUCCUGCCUUGGGAAGCACACUACCCACACUCACCAAUCAGAGAGCAGGAAGCUUAGUCAGCUGUGCUGGGAUGACAGCAGGUGACAUGGGAGCAAAUGAAGAGCAAGAAGAGAAACUGAAGGAGUCCCUCAGCCAUCCAGCACCACUUAAGAGGUAACUGGGAAACACUCUGUUAGACCAAGGCUCAUCUGCACUCCUGUCUGGAACAGCAGGUAAUGUCUCUAUGAUUCAAGAAACCUCUGCCCUCUGACCAAGAUAAACAACUUUGCAUUGUGUUUAUGUUUAGAAACAGCUAGAAGCUCUUUAAUGAAAUCACUGUAGUGGAAUUUUAAAUAAGCAAACUGCUAUCUCAGACGUCAAAAAUUACAGUGAUCAUUUAUAGCGUGUGAAACAAGGGGCCUAUUUCUAGGCAGAAAAGGAGAAGGAAUUAAAUCUAGUGAGUUCACUGUAAGUUAAUUUAUAUUAGUUAAUUGUGGUUAAUAAUACAUGCUCUUUGGGAAUUAUAUUUCCAAUACUUGCUAUGUUUUCUGCUUCUAAAACACCUGUCUCCAACCUUAAAGUCUUUAUACACAUUCAAAAUUAAGAGACUACAUUUUGGAUAA